UACGGGGGGAGCAAGCGUUGUUCGGAUUUACUGGGCGUAAAGGGCGCGUAGGCGGCGCAAUAAGUCACUUGUGAAAUCUCCGGGCUUAACCCGGAGCGGCCAAGUGAUACUGUCGUGCUAGAGUGCGGAAGGGGCUACUGGAAUUCUCGGUGUAGCGGUGAAAUGCGUAGAUAUCGAGAGGAACACCUGCGGCGAAGGCGGGUUGCUGGGCUGAUACUGACGCUGAGGCGCGAAAGCCAGGGGAGCGAACGGG
rnacentral:rRNA from 1 species